GACAGAGUAGCAUACAUGAACGCCUUUGCAGCUGAAGAGCAUGAUUAUCCUACAGCAUCAGUGGGAUGGGAAAAUGCCUAACUUAAGAGCAAGCCACUCAGAGAACUGAGCACUCACUGCAGAGAGACAAGGAAGAGCCACAGAGGGGGUUGUGGUGUGUAGGGUGGCAGUCUGCUGGUUUUAAAACUUUUACAAUGGAUUCUGCUGUCAUGACGAUUUUAAACUGAUAUACUGUAAAACUGAUAAACUAUACUGACAUUAAUGGACUUGCUCCUGGUUUAUGCUUGAUUCAGCCCGGGAGUAAGGUUUCUGGGUUUACAAGUGAUCUUGAAAAAGUAAAAAUGAAUAGAGAUCUUGAUACUUUCGGAAAGCCAAUGCUGCACAGUCAGCCCUAGCAUCUUCUGUAAUAACAGGAACAAUACGUUGAUACUGUUGGAAACAAGAUACCAAAUAACAGACAAGUAUAGGAGACAAGUCAUGUUGUGGCUGUUGAAUGGCUCUUAUGCACAACUGAUGUACCAGAUCCCCCUUCCCUGAUGCUGACACAACCAUCUGCCUUACGCCAAGCACAGAGGAAGGUCCGGCGGCUUGAAUAAGACACGGCGAUGCUCUGUGAUGACGCAGGAACUGGGAUAAUUGAGUUUUCAGCAGGUCCCCUCAUAGUGGGUUUACCUGCGUAGGCAGAAGAGCUUAAGUCCUGCAUGGUACAGGUCAGUGCCUCGCUUUUGUGUGCUCCUCUCUUCUCACAGCACAUCCCUACGUGCUCAGCAUCGGUGCUCAGCGGGAAGAACGAGAGGAGCGCUGGUAUCAUUAAUACUACUAUUAAUUUUAUUUGAGAGAGAGAAGGACAUGCUUGGAAAGACAGAAACAGAGAAGAACACGGAAGCAUAGUCUGAGCCUAGUCAAAGCUCAGGAACGUGCCCGA
rnacentral:lncRNA from 1 species